UACGUAGGUGGCAAGCGUUGUCCGGAUUUACUGGGCGUAAAGAGCGCGCAGGCGGUCGUUCAAGUCGCGUGUGAAAGCCCCCGGCUCAACUGGGGAGGGUCACGCGAUACUGAUCGACUCGAAGGCAGGAGAGGGUAGUGGAAUUCCCGGUGUAGUGGUGAAAUGCGUAGAUAUCGGGAGGAACACCAGUGGCGAAGGCGGUUCUCUGGGCAUGUCCUGACGCUGAGGAGCGAAAGUGUGGGGAGCGAACAGG
rnacentral:rRNA from 1 species